CUCCAUCUUGGCUGUGUUCCUGCCAUUCUCAUGCCAGAGGACAUCACUGCCCUGAUGUUGCACAAGGACAACAUGGGGGCACAAGAGCGUUGGCUUGUUUCUCUUUUGAAUUCCUGAUUCAGAAAGCAAUGGGUUCAGGGUCUUGGUGGAUUGUGAUUGAUCUACUCCUGUGGAGAGAAACUCCAACCUCCUGGAGUCUCUUGCCAAGACAUCAAGGAUCUCAAGGCACUGCGGGGCCUGAACAAGGACGACAGGGAUGUGGAUCACCCAGCCUUGUCCUCAGACGCCUAUAAUGUCUCCCUGGGAGUCUGCAGUGAGGUUUGAGCACAGUCAAGAAGAGAUUGAGGAACAUUGAAGGAAGACCAAGGUGAGUCACCAUGGAGGCCUAGGCAGAGACUGAAGACAAAGGAUGGCAUCAGGAAAGAGCAGGUCUGAAGGCCAGUGCUCAGAGAACCUCCCACCACAGCCAAGGGCACCACCCCAGGAGUCAACCACUCAGCCUUUGAAUAAAUGAACACUGAGUCUCGGGGGUCCAGGGAUACUGUUAUAUCAAGUAGAAGGGCAUUCAUGAUCCAUCCCCAAUGGUUCAGCGGGCUUCAACUUUCUUCUCUUUUCUUCCCAGAAUCCGGUUUGUAUUUUUUUAAUUUUUACUUUAUUUUAUUGUUUUGAUGAAACCCUAAGACUCCAAGAAGAAAAGUUUUAGAGAAGUUCCUUCUAUCUUUAUUAACUCUAAAUCCAACAAGCCAACCAGCCUGCUUGGAGGAGGACCCUCCCUGCCUGCUUUGCAGAAAUGUCAGGAAUGAUGUAACACUUGGGAUUUUGUUGGCUUGGUUUUGUUGUAGUGGUGCUGAUUGCUUUCUUUUUCAUAUGCAGUUUAAGAGUCAAAGUGCUAGCCCUCUAUCUUUUCACGGCUGCGGAUGUCAAGGCUCAGAGAAGUUAAAAGCACUUUUGGGGAUGCACAGGCUAGGAUGCGGCAGAAACAGGCCUGGUUCCAGAGUCUAGAUCUGUCUUUGUCAAAGGAGGAUGACCAACUUGGGUAACCUCAGUGCUAAGCAUCACUGGAGAAGUGAAAGGGGGUGCCAUGGGUAGAUGGACGGGUACACGUGGAGGACACAGCAGGAAUGGGGCUGCCGUCAGCCACCAUAAAAUAGUGUGCUCAGCCAGUUAGGAAAUGACAUGCCUCCUCUAUACCCCUCCCCCUCCCUGUGCCAAUGGGUGACAAGCCACUAAGAAACCAGAGUUAGAGGUAACUCAGCUCUGUGAGCAUGGAAAGAGGAGUAAGAGAGAGGGCAAAGCAGGUUUGGGGGGGGGUCUGGGGGAGGGGCAUGCUGUGUGAGCAGUGAUGGGGCUCAACUGGGGAGUGGAGCGGCCCUGGUGAUGAACACACUUCCUGGGGUUGAAACACUUGAGAACAAUGCUGACUAAGGGCAUGCCUGGUCCAUUUCUGAGAAGACUAGUGCUGUUGCUGGGGGUGGUAAACACGCAGAUUGGAGUUUAAAUGUGACUUGCAGGAAAGCCAGGUGCAAGCUUCAUUCCCUGAGUUAAAAUAAAAUAAAAUAAAAUAAAAUAAAAUAAAAAAGCUUUUAAGGCAACAUCCAGUUAGUUUUGUCCUACAGAUGUUUCUUGAUCACUGUUCUGUUGCUGUGAAGAGACACCAUGACCAAGGCAGCUCUUAUAAAACAAAGCAUUUGAGACUUAGAGGUUUCAUCCAUUUCCAUCAUGGUAGGAAGUAUGGCACUUGCAGGCAGACAUGGUCCUGGAGGAGAAACUGAGACUUCUACAUCUGGAUCCUCAAACAACUGGAACAGAGAGACUCUGAGUUGGGAAUGGGCUUUUUGAAACCUCAAAACCCACCCUCAGUGACACACUUCCUCCAACAAGGCCACGCCCCCUAAAUCCUCCCAAGUAGUUCCACUUCCUGAUGACUAAGCUUUCAAACAUAUGAGCAUAUGGGGGGGGGGGCGCAUUCUCGUUCAAAGCACUGCAAGAUGAUAUAAACACCACAGGAGCCAUAUUACUCGUUCAACAAUGGCACAGCGUCACAAUGCAAGUUCUAGUAUUCUUUGUCUCCAAAUCAGCUUGGUAGCAUUCUCAGAACACCCUGUCUCUAUUUCUCAUGAUUCUCCACUCCCCCCACACCUCUGGGUUUCUCCUUCGCUAUAACAAAAACAAUAAAGCAGUGUUUCUCAAAGUG
rnacentral:lncRNA from 1 species